GACGAACGCUGGCGGCGUGCUUAACACAUGCAAGUCGAACGCUGAAGCUUGGUGCUUGCACUGCGUGGGUGAGUGGCGAACGGGUGAGUAAUACGUGAGUAACCUGCCCUUGACUCUGGGAUAAGCCUGGGAAACCGGGUCUAAUACUGGAUACGACAUUUCACCGCAUGGUGGAAUGUUGAAAGGGGUUUAUUCUUUUUGUAUUGGCUGACGGCCUAUCAGCUUGUUGGUUGGGUAAUGGCACACCAAGGCGACGACGGAUAGCCGGCCUGAGAGGGGAAACGGGCACAAUGGGACUAAGACAGGGAGCAGACGCCUACGUGAGGCAGCGGUCGGGAAUAUUGCACAAUAGGGGGGAGCGUGAUGCAGCGACGCCGCGUGAGGGAUAACCGCCUUCGAGUUGUGAACCUAUUUCAGCACAGAAGAGGAGAAAGUGACGGUACGUGAAGAAGAAGCGCCGGCUAACUACGUG
rnacentral:rRNA from 1 species